GUGGCAUACUAGGACCAUUCUGAGUGUUGUUCAGGGAUCUUUCACAUAUCACAAGGCUACCAUCUUCCAUAACAGAUGUAUACCGCAUUAACCAAAAGUCACGAGCUGGUGCCAGUGUAGUAGGUGCAUAGAGCUGCAUGUAUAGCAAUUCAAUGGUUCCACCGUUUCCAGUGGACAUCACAUUGAGAACAUCCACUGCUCGGCAGUCACGAAACCAUGAUGGCCGAUCUUUAAGAAUUUCAGCAACUCU
rnacentral:misc_RNA from 1 species